AUGCAGUUCUUCAUAUGGUUUUUCAAACAUGCGCUCCUCGACCAUGGUUGAAAAUCGAAACAUAUUCUUCAUAUGAUUCUUCAUACGGUUCUCCAAAUACGUGUUCCUCUACCAUGGUCGAGGAUUAGAACAUGUUUUCCAUGCGGUUCUCCAAACACAUACCCCUCGACCACGAUCGAGGAUUGGAACGUAUUUUCUAUGCGGAUCUCCAUCGCGUGCCCC
rnacentral:lncRNA from 1 species